AUCGCUUCUCGGCCUUUUGGCUAAGAUCAAGUGCAGUAUCUGUUCUUAUCAGUUGAAUAUCCCAUUGUUAUCUAUAUGAAUUCUCUAGCUCAUAUUAUAGAUUCCUA
ensembl:snRNA U2 U2 spliceosomal RNA